AGCAGCCGCGGUAAUUCCAGCUCCAAUAGCGUAUAUUAAAGUUGUUGCAGUUAAAAAGCUCGUAGUUGAAUUUCGGGAUCAAUAUGUCGGUCGUGCCUUCGGUACGUACUGGUAUCAUUGGUCUCUCCUUUCUGACGAACCAUGAUGUCAUUAAUUUGGUGUUAUGGGGAGUUAGGACUGUUACUUUGAAAAGAUUAGAGUGUUUAAAGCAGGCUUUAGCUUGAAUACAUUAGCAUGGAAUAAUGAAAUAGGACGUUCGAACCUAUUUUGUUGGUUUCUAGGAUCAACGUAAUGAUUAAUAGGGAUAGUUGGGGGCAUUAGUAUUCAAUUGUCAGAGGUGAAAUUCUUGGAUUUAUUGAAGACUAACUACUGCGAAAGCAUUUGCCAAGGAUGUUUUCAUUAAUCAAGAACGAAAGUUAGGGGAUCGAAGACGAUCAGAUACCGUCGUAGUCUUAACCAUA
rnacentral:rRNA from 1 species